GACUCAGCUGAGCCUGAGCCUGCAUGGCUCUCGCCACCUCCCGGCCUUGGCUCAUGUGCCCAGGACCCUCGUCCCUGGGCUGCCAGUGGCUCCCAGCAUCCCUCCCCUUCCUGGAUGCCUCUUCUUGCCGUCUGAACUCUAGUGACUCAGAUCUAACACUUAAGAUCCAGAUACAAAGGACAAUGCCGCAUGCCUCACCCCCUGGAUUUGCUGUCUACGCUUCUCAAGUCCAGAGUCAGUGUCUGUGUAGAUUUGGGAUGCAGGAUACUGGCCUGACUGUCAUGGAGCCCUUGCUUCUUGAGGGUAGAGGUGGUACUUAGCACUGGUCCAGCCUGAACGUGCUGUAACAGACCUCAUCUGUCCGUCCUAGCCAUCCGCUCACCACCAUCGUCACCGUCUCUCAUCAUCCUCGCCAUCAUCUUCCCAGCCCAGGGAACUUCUGCUCCUUCCAGCGUAUUUCUCAUGCCCAUGGCCUUGGCCUGCUGUGGCCCAGAUGAAGACACAAGGGCAACGCAACUUCCUUAAGUGUCAUUGUUUGCACAGGACUGUGCAGAGGCAAAGUCACCGUUCAGUCAGCAUCGCGGACAGCCAGGCCCCGGGCGGCAGGACACGCUCAGCUCCAGCAGCAGAAGCGCUGAUGACACCGAGAUGGACUUGGUGAAACUCGGCAGCUGACUCUGGCUAUCACGUCUCUGAGUAGUGUUGGGCCAAAAGUAACGAAAUCUGCGAGGACCAGAGACACCGUGCAGGUCAAGACAGAGGAGUGCUGGGCCCAGGCUGCCCACCCUGAGAGUGCUGUCACCUGGAGAGACCGAGGAGGGGAAAGUGAGCUGCACCAGGACCUCAGGUCCAUGCUUGUCCCCUGUGCCCUGCUGGCUGGGACAAGGACUGUCUGGGCACCCCUGCCUGCUCCCCACCCGCACUCGUCCCUCUGCACGGGAGCCUCGCGCAGCAGGGCCAGGGCAGCUGCCACUUGCACACAGAAACUGCCCGCAGAAUGACAGUUGCCAUGGCAAUGCCACACUGGGCGGGGGAGGGCAGGGCUUGCCGCCUGCACCGGCUCCUCCUGCUCAGUGCCGUCCCAGCCCGGAGAAGCCCAGGCAGGGGCUAGGAUCACUUGGCCCCGCAGGCUGGUGAGGGCCCCACCCAUGCAGACCCCAGGCCGCCCUGCCCCUGGGGCCUCAAGCAGAGGGAGGAGAGGGAACAGGGGAUGGGGAGCUGAGCCGACAAGCUUGUCUCCGUGCCUGUCCCAGGAAAGAGCCAUCCACAGUCACCCUGGUGACACAGAGGCCGCCACCCGCUGUGCUCAGCCCUGGCCUUCAGGCUCUGGCGAACCUGAGCCUGCUUCCAUUCAUCUGCAAAAUGUGAAGAGGGAGAAGCUCCAGCCCCGUGCAGAGCUUCGACCCACGCAGCCCCGGGGUGCAGCCCUGAGUCCAGGCUCACAGGGCCCGGCCAGCACCCUCAGGAGCCCCUGGCUCCCACAGCUGUAACCUCACUGGGCCUCAGCUUCCUGGCGCUGCAGCGAGGACAUCUGCUGGCCCAGCCUGUGGUGCCGAGGUGCUGAGAACUGAGGCGGACAGCACCUGGCACCCAGGCUCCUCACCCCAACCAGCACAGGACCCAGUCAUCAGGUCCCCAUUCACGGGCUCGUGGGAUGUCAGGGCCCAGGCCACACAGCCGAGACGUGAGCCCAAGGCACCUGCGGAGGCAAUGAAGGGAAGCAGCACUGGUGUCUGGGGCCUGACGCCUCCCUGGGCGGGAGUGCCCUCCAUUGGCAAGUGUGCCGAGAGGUGACACGCAGCCCCAAGAGCCCAGGAAACUGAGUCACAGCUGAGACUGGCCGAGGGCCUGCGGUGCACCCAGUGCUUCUUAACCCGGCUCGUCCUCCACACCCACAGGAAGGGUUCGCCCUCUGCUUCCACCAGGGGGAUGGAGAGAUCAGGGCAAAGCCUGGGGCGGUGCACCCAUCGUCCCAGCACUCUGGGAGGCUGAGGCAGGAGGACGGCAAGCUCCAGGGCAGCCAGGGCAGCUCGAGGACUUCAACAAGGCCCUGUCUCAGAACAGGAAAUGAAAACAGGGCUGGGCAUGCGGCUCAGUGUGAAGGCCCUAGGCCCAGUCCCCAUACUGAAAAGUAGAUAAAGCCCACCUCCUCUGCUACACACACUCAUACUCGCAUGUGUGCACACACAAGUAAAUUCAGCCUUGUGCAGCCUGUUGUUAGCAGGGUUUUGUGAUUUUUAAAAAAUGGUCAGAAAUAAACAGGGACCGUCCAGGCCAGAAGGGAGGGACCAGACUUGGGGGGAGGCUGGGCAGGUCUGCAGGAGAGAGGCACACAGGGUCUUGAACAGGAAAUGCAGGGCAAGGAAGACAGCAGGAUGGACACCGGGAAGGCCAGG
ensembl:lncRNA